GAGCAGCCUCACACUCUGCCGGGGCUGUGUUCCUCUCCAAGGUCUGACGCCGGGCCCUUCACCCUCCUCUCCUCCCGCUGCUUCCUCUGCUUCCUGGUGAACGGAUUUCAACGUCGAAUUUUAGUUCUUUAGGUCUACGCCUUUGCCGACGUAGAGGGAGCAGAAACUCUCCCCCUCUUACCGACUAUGGCCAAAGUCUUUCUGCGCCGGCUGGAGGCACCGCUGGUAGAUCUGCAGCUAGUGCGGUUUGCGUCCAGGGGAAGAGGAGCCGCCGACCUGCCCCUCCUUCCUGCGGGCGAUGUUCCACAGGGUGGUCCUGGGCACCUUCCCGGCGUCCUCCAGGGCCUGUUGGCUGAUGAGCCACUCACGAGCGGUGAGGCACCCAGGGCCCGCCUCCGACUCGCAGUACACGCUGCUCUUGUAGAGCGCGUGCCCCGUGUCCAGGGUCCUGGGUUGGGCGCACGUGGGGCAGGGGUCCCCCGUCUGGCAUUGGGGCUUCCCCUUUUGCUCCUCCAGCACCCGGGUGUCCUGCCUCAGGGACUUGUAGGUCCGGUGUGAGUGCACCCUGAACCACACCCGCGCGUCGCCCAGCCCCCUGGUAGACACGGAGCCCUCGCACAACCUACGCCUGGCGACGGCCUUCACCAUGGGUCGAAACAGCCCGGCGUUGGAGGCAUCAGAGGUGCGAAGGGGGUGAGCUCAGAGGAAGGGGGUUCGAACCGGAAACGGGGAACAAAAGACAUUUCCUGAAAGACAAGAAGAAACAAAACAAGUCAGUCAAGUGUAUUAAAAUGUACUAAUUGGGUGUUAAGAUAACAAUGUUGAUAUCAAUGUUAAUGUCAGGAGAUCAGCCCAUUAGGCAGGCCCGCCGCUCCCUAUACGCAGAGUGCUUAGCUCACCAAGUACCUGGGGGGGACUCAAUUUCGGCAAAUUAGAGGUUUUUACCCAAUAUAUAAAAAGAGGCCUAUAACCAUUAGGGGUGUUAGGGUAAUACUGUUAUUGUCAAUAGAACAUUAGGUUUAGCCUGAGAGUGACCUGUUGCCCUCCACCCACUCUUAACACCUCUCAUUUGCAAAUCACGGUUGCAUUACAAACACCGAAAUCACACAUUAAUAAUUUCACAUUUAGACCACCCAUUAGA
ensembl:lncRNA